rnacentral:lncRNA from 1 species
AUUCAAUCUCCUUGUGCCUUGAUUUCCUUAUCAAUAAGUGAUUUGUUUUUAAAGAAGGAUUCACAAGCAAACAUAUCUGGUUUUUUUGUUUGUUUGUUUUUGAGACAGAGUCUCGCUCUGUUGUCCAGGCUGGAGUGCAGUGAUGCGAUCUUGACUCACUGCAACCUCCGCCUCCCAGGAGUUCAAGCGAUCCUCCUGCCUCAGUCUUCCGAGUAGCUGGGACUACAGGCAUGUGCCACCACACCCAGCUACUAUUUUUGUAUUUUUUUGUAGAGAUGGUUUCGCCAUGUUGGCCAGGCUGGUCUUGAACCCUUGACCUCAGGUGAUCCACCAGCCUCGGCCUCACAAAGUGCUGGGAUUACAGGUAUGAGCCACCACGCCCAGCCUGCAAACAUAUGUUGAACUCUUUGCACAGUGCCCUGCAUGAGAUAGAUGACAGCUCCUUCUUCCAUGUUGUUAAUUUGGUGUGAGUAUAUGUUAUAUGUAUGUAUAUGCAAGAUAAUAAUCUUCUUGUAACCACUGACAGGCCUUUUUGUGAAUGAUGAUGGAAAAAGCAAGAACCUUGUCCAGGUUCCUCUCCAGGGAGCAGGGGUGGGUUGUGAUUCUUGAUUUCAUUCCUUUAGAUAUGAAGAGUUUUCACACAGAGGCAGCACGAAUUUGUCUCUCUCCUAGAGGGUGGGGAGAGUUGCUGGGUGGAUAUAACUGCAUCACAGCCUUUCUGGGUAAACUGGCCACUCCCUACUGAUUUGUUAUCAUGCUAAAUGUGUCUCCUCCCUUCCUUUCUGGAGCUUUUGCAGCUGUUCCUGGAAGGAGACCCAGUUGAAAGGGGUUGUUAUGGACCAGGAACAGCUGGGAUCUUUAAUGAUCUGUGAGCAGCUUACAGCAAAGUUCCAACACCCUGAGUAUCAGUCCCCAAAUCCUUGGUCUUUGCAUUCCAACACAAAGUAAAAAGGAUUGAGCAGGGUUUUGGUUUUGGUUGCAAGUAACAGAAACCCAACGCUAAUUAAUAAACGGGAAAGUGUGUCAGUGGAAAUCUCCACAAGUCCGACGGAAAGAGAAAACUGCUUUCCCAAAGGGUGUAAGAGGAUGAAAGGCAUGUCAUCAGCUGAAUUGCAUCAGGUGUCCAUCUUGGAAUCAAUCACGGUGCCUCUUAUUAGCAAAGCCUGAGUCAUAGCAAGAAAACAGGGACCUUAAUCUUACGACCACAAGGAACUGGACUCUGCUACCAGAAUGAGCUGCAAGGGAGAUUCUUCCUCAGAAGCUUCAGAUAAGAACUCCACCUGGCUGACCUUUGAUUUUGGUUUUGUGAGAACUUUGGCAGAUAACCCAGGCAUGUGUCAUUUCACAUCUGCAUAAAAAGACAUGCUGAAGGAUGUUCCUUGCAGAAUGGUUAUAGAGAAAAAUGGGAAUAACCACGAUAUAAAGUAACAGUCUGCUAUUUUAGGAAGUGGAUAAAAUGGCAUUUUGACAGAUCUGGAGGGUCUUGGAUCUACCUUUCAACAUUGGCAUUACUGAUAUUAGAGUACCACCACUCACUAGCUGUGGAGAUGUAGGAAGAUUACUUAACCACUCAGAGCCUUGGUUUCCUCAUUUGUUAUGUGAAGAUGACAAUAUCAGAUGACAGUGAGAUCUGAGAUGAAUUUAACUGCCUUCAGUAGUGCUGGCCUGCUCCUGAGAGAGAGAUGAUUGAGAGGGAGGAAGUAGAGAGGAGGAAGAAGCCUUUACUCACACUCCUUGAGGAGUGAUUCAGGUGGACAGCCUGAAUUACGGGAUUUAUUGGCAGCAAGUAAGUAUUGUCUGAGUGGAUUACUGCAAAAUGCUUUAGCUGGGGAUGGCUUUGAAAACCACUCAUCAAUUACAGAUGGUACCCAGUAUAGCAGCAGGAGUACCCUUGCGGGCUUUUGUUAUCUCCGACCUCUUCCUUCAUGGGUGACCGUUCUAACCCAAAGACCUCAACUGUUCAUCAAAAACCUGCCACUCAGAACUGCAUAUCAAUUAUUAAACAAUGUCCCAUGCAGGACAGUGACUUUAAAUUAUCUUGGAAAUGAUAAAGACCAACAUUUGUCUUUGUUAACAUGCUGAGUGAUUCUGUGGUCUCUAGUCACAGGUGAAAGGAUCAGAUUUGAGAUUUCUAGACACCAGAAUCACAUUAGGGUUAAGCAAAACUCCAUCUUUUCCCAGAGAAAAUUUAGCCAGAAAUGUUGCUUAUUUGAGAUGAGAAGUAAGAUGAAGUGUUCUAACAUGGCGGAGCUUGAUAUGCAAAUGAGCCCAUCUAGGGACAGUAGGGAUUGGUAAUGUGGGUCUGUGGAUGCCUGGAAGGCUCACAGAAAGACUUCAGGAAUUCCUGAGUCUCUUCAAAGUGUAAGCAAAAUUUUGUGUGUAUUUUCUUAUUUGCAUGAUAUGGCUUGGCUGUGUCCCCACCCAAACCUUAUCUCGAAUUGUAACUCCCACAAUUCCCACAUGUCGUGGAAGGAUCCUGGUGGGAUUCAUUAUGGGGGCAGGUCUUUCCAGUGCUGUUCUCAUGAUAGUGAAUGAGUCUCACAAUAUCUGAUGGUUUUAAAAACAGGAGUUUCUUUGCACAAGCUCUCUUUCUACCGCUGCCUCCAUGUAAGAUGUGACUUGCUCCUCCUUGCCUUCCACCAUGAUUGUGAGGCCUCCCCAUCCACGUGGAACUGCGAGGCCAAUUGAACUCCUUUCUUUUGUAAAUUGUCCAGUCUCAGGUAUGUCUUUAUCAGCAGUGUGAAAAUGGGCUAAUACAGUGCAUUUAUUUUUUUGAAGCAUGUCCAUACUUUCCAUUGGAUUCUCAAAGGGAUUCAGGACCUGGAAACUUUUUGAAAUACUGCUCCAUAGUAAAUGGCACAAAUCUCUCUGAAUCAAGGAUGUCUCUAGCCUUAGGCAAAGCUAGGUUGAAGGACAGAACAGAGAGUCAGCCUCUGGAGUGCCCUCUAUAAGGAAAAAGAAAACAUUACUAGAGUAAGUUGAUAAAGUAUAAAUUCAUCUCACUCCUACUGGACACUGCCCUUGAGUGAAAUUAAAAACUGAAAAAUUUUUGACAUAUCUUUUGAGCAUUUUUGUAAAAUACGCAUGUAGCUAUGGCCAAAAUUCUGGAAUAAAAUGGUACAUAUAGCCUUAGGUAUCCUGGCUCUGUUUCUUAAAGGAGUCAUAUUUACAGAAUUGCAGUUGUCCAGGUGCAGUGGCUCACGCCUGUAAUCCAAACAAUUUGGGAGGCCCAAGCAGGUGGAUCACUUGAAGUCAGGAGUUUGAGACCAGCCUGGUCAACAUGGUGAAACCCCAUCUCUAGUAAAAAUACAAAAAAAAAAUUAGCCGGGCAUGGUGGCGGGCACCAGUAAUCCCAGCUACUGGGGAGGCUGAGGCAGGACAAUUGCUUGAACCUGGGAGGCAGAGGUUGGGAGGUUGCAGUGACCCUAGAUAGCACCAUUGCACUCCAGCCUGGAUGACAGAGCGAGAUUCCAUCUCAAAAAAAAAGAAAGAAAGAAAGAAAGAAUUACAGUUGAUUAGCCACAAAUAAUUUCUAAAAUGUUUUUGCUCACAUCUCUCAUAAAAAUAAAAGAAUAUCCAUGUCCUGUCUUAUUUCUUAUAGCUGCCAGUACACCCCCCAGUUUCCUCUUAUAACUGUUUCAUCCAGAAUCCUUCACAUGGUUACCCUUCACUUUCUCUAUUCCAGUCCAGGUUGCUUAUUUUCUUUUCUCUGGCCUUCUCCCUGUUGCUUUGCUCUUCAUCGUGUAGAUUGAUUUAGUUGUUUUGGCUCAGUCCUUCCUUCUGUCUUCUGUUUCU